CUUUUCAGCUGUGCUCAGUGAUAGGACAAGGGGCAGUGGGCACAAACUGGAACACAGG
rnacentral:miRNA from 7 species